GCCUCUGGCCUAGGCACGUGUUUUUUCUUACCCUGUAUUUUCUUUAAUCCUUAAUCUUCAAUAAACCUCUAAAAAAUAUAAUACUCCGUGCAGAGAGAAACUAAUUUCUACCUGCCUCAGUCUCCCCGUCUCCCCUAAAUUUUAAUCUUUACAAGUGGGACCCUUGUGGAGGUAGAAAUGUACAAUACUGGUGUAAUCUAGUUACUUGGGGAAAUAAUAUAAAUGAAGACAGAAGAAAGCAACAUAAUUCACAUAGAGUAUUGAUGUACAAGCUCUUCAUAUGAUGAAUGUUGUACACUGAUACUACUCAGAAUGCUGAUGUUUUUUCUUCUCUUGUAUUUUGAUUGUUUCAUGCAGUGAGAUUUUUUUUUAAAUUAGAAAGACUUGUCUUUCUUUCUCUCUCCCUUCUACAGGAAUACAUCCAUCAGUGUCAGCAGGGAGUCCUGAAACAGUCUGGAGAUUUUCCAUCUGUCUGUGCUGCUGUUUUAGCUUUUCUUGGCCUGAUGAAAAAGUAGUACAAACAAUGCGACAUUUUCUUUCCUGGACCAGAAACCCUUUAAGAGCAAUCCAGGAUACUAUUUAA
rnacentral:lncRNA from 1 species